rnacentral:rRNA from 1 species
UACGGGGGGAGCAAGCGUUGUUCGGAUUUACUGGGCGUAAAGGGCGCGUAGGCGGCCUCCGCAAGUCAAUUGUGAAAUCUCCGGGCUUAACUCGGAAAGGUCAGCCGAUACUGCGGGGCUAGAGUGCAGAAGGGGCAACUGGAAUUCUCGGUGUAGCGGUGAAAUGCGUAGAGAUUGGGAAGAACACCGGUGGCGAAAGCGCUCUGCUGGGCCGCAACUGACACUAAUGGACGAAAAGCUAGGGGAGCGAAUGGGAUU